UGUUCAGUGGCUUAGUUGGUUAAAGCGCCGGUCUAGCGAAUACGGAGUCGGGGGUUCGAAUCCCACCAGAACGC
rnacentral:tRNA from 1 species